GACGAACGCUGGCGGCGUGCUUAACACAUGCAAGUCGAACGGAAAGGCCCUGCUUUUGUGGGGUGCUCGAGUGGCGAACGGGUGAGUAACACGUGAGUAACCUGCCCUUGCCUUUGGGAUAACUUCAGGAAACUGGGGCUAAUACCGGAUAGGAGUUCCUGCUGCAUGGUGGGGGUUGGAAAGUUUCGGCGGUUGGGGAUGGACUCGCGGCUUAUCAGCUUGUUUGUGGGGUAGUGGCUUACCAAGGCUUUGACGGGUAGCCGGCCUGAGAGGGUGACCUGCCACAUUGGGACUGAGAUACGGCCCAGACUCCAACGGGAGGCAGCGGUGGGGAAGAUUGCACAAUGGGCGGAAGCCUGAUGCAGCCACGCCGCGUGCGGGAUGACGGCCUUCGGGUUGUAAUCCGCUUUCGCCUGUGACGAAGCGUGAGUGACGGUAAUGGGUAAAGAAGCACCGGCUAACUACGUG
rnacentral:rRNA from 1 species